rnacentral:lncRNA from 1 species
CGGGUCGGGUCACCGCACGGGUCGUAGGGCUGAAACGGCGCCGUUUUUGUGCUUACCCUUCGGCCCAAAACAGUGCCGUUUUCGGUAAGCUAUAAAUACAAUGUUUUUUUUUAAAAAACUCAUUGUUCUUUCUAUUUCAAAAAAAAAACAAAAAAAAAAUUUCCUUUUCUCUCAAGCAGGCCCAAAAUCCGGCCAAACUCCGGCGAGUGGCCACUGCGCCGUUCACGGCGGCGGGGAGUAAAAAAUCUCGCCUUUUUUAAACUGUUUUUAGAUCCCGUUCAAUAGUCAAACUGCUUUGGCUCAAAAGGAUGACCCUUGGCCCCUUCUCCUCUCGGAUCCGACGUUCUUGAAGGAGGAGAGCCCUCCGACGGUGAACCCGCAAGGCAAAUCAGGUAAGCCCGUUCCCCUUUUACUUCUUAUUUAUUAUGCGUAAAAAAAACAAACAGAAAGAGCAAACAAGGAAAAAAAAAACCGAAUCUAAGGGAAAAAAAAACCUCCGUUUUGUAUUUUAUUUUUUCAAAUCUUUUUUCUUCGUAUUUUCCUCUCUAUUUUCGUAUGUCUUUACACUCAAGACCCCCCUUUUCAGAUCUCCCCCCACGGCUUUUAAAUAGUCGAAAAUAACAACAAAAUAAGCAACAAAAUCAUAUCUCCCUUCAAUAUUGGUUGCGAUUUUUGCUACUACUCUGCUAUUGCUGCGCCAUAUGCUUCUUUUUCGCAGGUGUGGUGGCUGUUGAGUGCGUGGGAGCGACAAGCGCGAUGUGCGGCGCUUGCGGAGGGGUGGUGCGCAGGGUGAUGCGGCGCUGAAGCAGAAAGGGCUAGGGUUUCUGGACUGGGCUAGGGUUAAUGUAAUUGGGCUAAAUUUUUGGGUUUAGUCUGUAGAUGGGUAAUUGGGUCUGCUAUGUUUUUAUUUUAUAUGGGCCCGGGCAGAAAAAUUGGGUAUUACAAUAUAUAUUAAAAAAAACUGUUGUAUGUUUCUUAUUUAUUUAUUUUAAACUGUUAUUAUUAUUCAUUUUAAGUUUUUAUAUACUGUUUAUUUGAAG